UUCUAGAGAUAGAAAGUUCUUCGGAACAUCGGUGACAGGUGGUGCAUGGUUGUCGUCAGCUCGUGUCGUGAGAUGUUGGGUUAAGUCCCGCAACGAGCGCAACCCCUAUUGUUAGUUGCCAUCAUUUAGUUGGGCACUCUAGCGAGACUGCCGGUAAUAAACCGGAGGAAGGUGGGGAUGACGUCAAAUCAUCAUGCCCCUUAUGACCUGGGCUACACACGUGCUACAAUGGUUGGUACAACGAGUCGCAAGUCGGUGACGGCAAGCAAAUCUCUUAAAGCCAAUCUCAGUUCGGAUUGUAGGCUGCAACUCGCCUACAUGAAGUCGGAAUCGCUAGUAAUCGCGGAUCAGCACGCCGCGGUGAAUACGUUCCCGGGCCUUGUACACACCGCCCGUCACACCACGAGAGUUUGUAACACCCGAAGUCGGUGAGGUAACCAUUUAGGAGCCAGCCGCCUAAGGUGGGAUAGAUGAUUGGGGUGAAGUCGUAACAAGGUAGCCGUAUCGGAAGGUGCGGCUGGAWCACCUCCUUC
rnacentral:rRNA from 1 species